GUGGGGAAUCUUAGACAAUGGGCGCAAGCCUGAUCUAGCCAUGCCGCGUGAUCGAUGAAGGCCUUAGGGUUGUAAAGAUCUUUCGCUGGGGAAGAUAAUGACUGUACCCAGUAAAGAAGCCCCGGCUAACUCCGUGCCAGCAGCCGCGGUAAUACGGAGGGGGCUAGCGUUAUUCGGAAUUACUGGGCGUAAAGCGCACGUAGGCGGACUGGAAAGUUGGGGGUGAAAUCCCGGGGCUCAACCUCGGAACUGCCUUCAAAACUCCCAGUCUUGAGUUCGAGAGAGGUGAGUGGAAUUCCGAGUGUAGAGGUGAAAUUCGUAGAUAUUCGGAGGAACACCAGUGGCGAAGGCGGCUCACUGGCUCGAUACUGACGCUGAGGUGCGAAAGCGUGGGGAGCAAACAGGAUUAGAUACCCUUGUAGUCC
rnacentral:rRNA from 1 species